rnacentral:rRNA from 1 species
AGAAUCAACGCUGGCGGCGUGCCUAACACAUGCAAGUCGAACGAGAAAGGGUAGCAAUACCUGAGUAAAGUGGCGCACGGGUGAGUAACACGUGACUAACCUACCUUUUAGUGGGGGAUAACCUAGGGAAACCUGGGCUAAUACCGCAUAAUACCUACGGGUCAAAGCAGCAAUGCGCUGAAUGAGGGGUCGCGGUCGAUUAGCUAGUUGGCGGGGUAAUGGCCCACCAAGGCAGUGAUCGGUA